UCCCGAACACGGUAGUUAAGCUUCUCUGCGCCAAUGGUAGUUGGGGGCUUCCCCCUGCGAGAGUAGGUCGCUGCCGGGC
rnacentral:rRNA from 1 species